AUUGCUUACCGCAUUUUAAUUUAUUUAUAUCCCGAAGCGCAAGCCAGAGUACUCUAAUUUGCCGCUAGACGGUGCUAGUGUUUGUUUAUAUACUCUUAUCUUGUACACAACUACCACAACUACAGACUACACAGACAGAUGUAACUUCACAACAAACUUUAAGAGCUUAGUCGUUAUUAGUUGAUCAAUUUAUACAGUAAAACAAAAAAGUGCGUUCCAUUAAACACGCAUCGAAAAUUAAAUAGCAUUAAAAAAAAUUAAUGUUUAUGAUUAGUAAAAAAUGUGGACUUGCAUUGCUAUUUCCUCAGCAUCUGCACAAACAGUUCGUUGGCGCGUCACUCUCUACUUCCAGGAUUGGUACAUGGGUCUCAAACUCCUGCUCAAACUCCUCUCCAAACUGUUGCUCGCUGCCACAAGUGCCUCCCUCCAAAAGUUCCUCAGAAUCUGCACAAGCGCCUUCCUCCAGGAGUUCCUCAGGAUCUGCACAAACAGAUGGAUUGACGUUUUGAGCAUCCACUUCCAGGAUUGCUACAUGAUAAUUAGGUAAAAUGUCAUCCGAGAAAUAUUGGGUUCCAUAAGCCAAACGUUCAUUAUCUAAUUAAGGUUAAUAAUUUAAUUUAAUAGAAGGUAAAAUGUUUUAAUAAUUCGUGUAAAGUUAACUUACCGAAACAGAACGGUCCAAGUUCAUGGUGGAUACUAUCACAACUGAAAAACAUUGCCUUUUUUAGAAUGAUUUUACAUAUAAUGUUCAGUAAUCAAAUCACUUACAGGUGACACCAAUAUUCUCCCUUUUCAAGAUAUACAUACUCCUGAUCCAUGAUAAGUUAAAGAAAAAACUGCUGGGCGAUCCAGAACUCAUCAAGGUGAAGAAAGGUGACCUAAUUCAGCUCAAGAGACAUGGUUUUUCUUUUGGGUAAAGGUUCGAGAUUUGAAAGCAAACAAGGCAGAAAAGACUCAAAUUGACACUGCUGUCAAGGAGUUAUUUGCAUUGAAAAGCAAGUUUAAGUUGGGAACCGUCAUGGAGUGGAAGGCAGAUAGUGCAAUCCCAAGUCAAGUGGAGAAACAAGACAAAGAUUCAACAAGGAAGGAUGUGGAGAUGAAGUGAUUUAUUUUAAAGUAAAGAAAGGAACAUG